rnacentral:rRNA from 1 species
CCUUUGACCCGGCGAUGUCCGAAUGGGGAAACCCAGUGUGUUUCGACACACUAUCGUUAACUGAAUACAUAGGUUAACGAGGCGAACCGGGGGAACUGAAACAUCUAAGUACCCCGAGGAAAAGAAAUCAACCGAGAUUCCCCCAGUAGCGGCGAGCGAACGGGGAGCAGCCCGGAGUCUGAAUCAGCUUGUGUGUUAGUGGAACGGUCUGGAAAGUCCGACGGUACAGGGUGAUAGUCCCGUACACGAAAACACACUUGCUGUGAACUCGAAGAGUAGG